rnacentral:rRNA from 1 species
AUUGAACGCUGGCGGCAUGCCUUACACAUGCAAGUCGAACGGCAGCACGGGUGCUUGCACCUGGUGGCGAGUGGCGAACGGGUGAGUAAUACAUCGGAACGUACCUUAUCGUGGGGGAUAACGCAGCGAAAGCUGUGCUAAUACCGCAUACGCCCUGAGGGGGAAAGCGGGGGAUCGCAAGACCUCGCGCGAUUAGAGCGGCCGAUGCCUGAUUAGCUUGUUGGUGGGGUAAAAGCCCACCAAGGCGACGAUCAGUAGCUGGUCUGAGAGGACGAUCAGCCACACUGGGACUGGGACACGGCCCAGACUCCUACGGGAGGCAGCAGUGGGGAAUUUUGGACAAUGGGGGAAACCCUGAUCCAGCCAUUCCGCGUGUGCGAUGAAGGCCUUCGGGUUGUAAAGCACUUUUGGCAGGAAAGAAAUCGCAUCAAUUAAUACUUGGUGUGGAUGACGGUACCUGCAGAAUAAGCACCGGCUAACUACGUGCCAGCAGCCGCGGUAA